GUCGGAAUCUGGGAGGACCAUCUCCUAAGGCUAAAUACUCUCUAGUGACCGAUAGUGAACCAGUACCGUGAGGGAAAGGUGAAAAGCACCCCGGAAGGGGAGUGAAAUAGAACCUGAAACCGUGUGCUUACAAGUAGUCAGAGCCCGUUAAUGGGUGAUGGCGUGCCUUUUGUAGAAUGAACCGGCGAGUUACGAUUUGAUGCAAGGUUAAGCAGUAAAUGUGGAGCCGUAGCGAAAGCGAGUCUGAAUAGGGCGUUUAGUAUUUGGUCGUAGACCCGAAACCAGGUGAUCUACCCUUGGUCAGGUUGAAGUUCAGGUAACACUGAAUGGAGGACCGAACCGACUUACGUUGAAAAGUGAGCGGAUGAACUGAGGGUAGCGGAGAAAUUCCAAUCGAACCUGGAGAUAGCUGGUUCUCUCCGAAAUAGCUUUAGGGCUAGCCUCAAGUGAUGAUUAUUGGAGGUAGAGCACUGUUUGGACGAGGGGCCCCUCUCGGGUUACCGAAUUCAGACAAACUCCGAAUGCCAAUUAAUUUAACUUGGGAGUCAGAACAUGGGUGAUAAGGUCCGUGUUCGAAAGGGAAACAGCCCAGACCACCAGCUAAGGUCCCAAAAUAUAUGUUAAGUGGAAAAGGAUGUGGCGUUGCCCAGACAACUAGGAUGUUGGCUUAGAAGCAGCCAUCAUUUAAAGAGUGCGUAAUAGCUCACUAGUCGAGUGACACUGCGCCGAAAAUGUACCGGGGCUAAACAUAUUACCGAAGCUGUGGAUUGUCCUUUGGACAAUGGUAGGAGAGCGUUCUAAGGGCGUUGAAGCAUGAUCGUAAGGACAUGUGGAGCGCUUAGAAGUGAGAAUGCCGGUGUGAGUAGCGAAAGACGGGUGAGAAUCCCGUCCACCGAUUGACUAAGGUUUCCAGAGGAAGGCUCGUCCGCUCUGGGUUAGUCGGGUCCUAAGCUGAGGCCGACAGGCGUAGGCGAUGGAUAACAGGUUGAUAUUCCUGUACCACCUAUAAUCGUUUUAAUCGAUGGGGGGACGCAGUAGGAUAGGCGAAGCGUGCGAUUGGAUUGCACGUCUAAGCAGUAAGGCUGAGUAUUAGGCAAAUCCGGUACUCGUUAAGGCUGAGCUGUGAUGGGGAGAAGACAUUGNGUCUUCGAGUCGUUGAUUUCACACUGCCGAGAAAAGCCUCUAGAUAGAAAAUAGGUGCCCGUACCGCAAACCGACACAGGUAGUCAAGAUGAGAAUUCUAAGGUGAGCGAGCGAACUCUCGUUAAGGAACUCGGCAAAAUGACCCCGUAACUUCGGGAGAAGGGGUGCUCUUUAGGGUUAACGCCCAGAAGAGCCGCAGUGAAUAGGCCCAAGCGACUGUUUAUCAAAAACACAGGUCUCUGCUAAACCGUAAGGUGAUGUAUAGGGGCUGACGCCUGCCCGGUGCUGGAAGGUUAAGAGGAGUGGUUAGCUUCUGCGAAGCUACGAAUCGAAGCCCCAGUAAACGGCGGCCGUAACUAUAACGGUCCUAAGGUAGCGAAAUUCCUUGUCGGGUAAGUUCCGACCCGCACGAAAGGCGUAACGAUUUGGGCACUGUCUCAACGAGAGACUCGGUGAAAUCAUAGUACCUGUGAAGAUGCAGGUUACCCGCGACAGGACGGAAAGACCCCGUGGAGCUUUACUGUAGCCUGAUAUUGAAAUUCGGCACAGCUUGUACAGGAUAGGUAGGAGCCUUUGAAACGUGAGCGCUAGCUUACGUGGAGGCGCUGGUGGGAUACUACCCUAGCUGUGUUGGCUUUCUAACCCGCACCACUUAUCGUGGUGGGAGACAGUGUCAGGCGGGCAGUUUGACUGGGGCGGUCGCCUCCUAAAAGGUAACGGAGGCGCUCAAAGGUUCCCUCAGAAUGGUUGGAAAUCAUUCAUAGAGUGUAAAGGCAUAAGGGAGCUUGACUGCGAGACCUACAAGUCGAGCAGGGUCGAAAGACGGACUUAGUGAUCCGGUGGUUCCGCAUGGAAGGGCCAUCGCUCAACGGAUAAAAGCUACCCCGGGGAUAACAGGCUUAUCUCCCCCAAGAGUUCACAUCGACGGGGAGGUUUGGCACCUCGAUGUCGGCUCAUCGCAUCCUGGGGCUGUAGUCGGUCCCAAGGGUUGGGCUGUUCGCCCAUUAAAGCGGUACGCGAGCUGGGUUCAGAACGUCGUGAGACAGUUCGGUCCCUAUCCGUCGUGGGCGUAGGAAAUUUGAGAGGAGCUGUCCUUAGUACGAGAGGACCGGGAUGGACAUACCUCUGGUGUACCAGUUGUCGUGCCAACGGCAUAGCUGGGUAGCUAUGUGUGGACGGGAUAAGUGCUGAAAGCAUCUAAGCAUGAAGCCCCCCUCAAGAUGAGAUUUCCCAACUUCGGUUAUAAGAUCCCUCAAAGAUGAUGAGGUUAAUAGGUUCGAGGUGGAAGCAUGGUGACAUGUGGAGCUGACGAAUACUAAUCGAUCGAAGACUUAAUCAA
rnacentral:rRNA from 1 species